rnacentral:lncRNA from 1 species
GUCAAUCAAAAUGUAUAACCUUUACUUACCACAAAAUAAUUCCGUGGGAACAAUGCCGACAUUUUGAUGGACUAAAAAUUUGAAACCCUGAAUUACAGGUGAUGGUUAUGGUUUUAACUGAGAGCCAGCAUUCAAUUUAUUUCUGCAGCAGUUUCUUUUAGUCAGUAAUUAGAAAAUACUGCACUUCAUAGACAUGCAGAGGCAAAUGGUAAGUCUGGACAUGGAACCCUCCAAGUCGCUGAAUUUGCCGUGUGGAAGAGACUUGGUGCAAGGUUGGGCGGCUGCCAGCUUGGAGUUGAGUCUGUUC